CAGCCGCCGCGGUAAUACCGGCGGCCCGAGUGGCGGUCACUAUUAUUGGGCUUAAAGCGUCCGUAGCCGGGUUGGGAAGUCCUCCGGGAAAUCUGGCCGCUUAACGGUCAGAAUGCCGGAGGAUACUCCCAGCCUAGGGAGCGGGAGAGGCCGAGGGUAUUCCCGGAGUAGGGGUGAAAUCCUAUAAUCCCGGGAGGACCAACUGUGGCGAAGGCGCUCGGCUGGAACGCGUCCGACGGUGAGGGACGAAGGCCAGGGGAGCAAACCGGAUUAGAUACCCGGGUAGUCCUGGCUGUAAACGAUGCGGACUUUGUGUCGGACAAGCUAUGAGCUUGUCCGGUGCCGGAGGGAAACCGUUAAGUCCGCCGCCUGGGGAGUACGGCCGCAAGGCUGAAACUUAAAGGAAUUGGCGGG
rnacentral:rRNA from 1 species